UUAGGACAAUUAACAAGAUAGGAUCUCCCUCUUCCUGCUUGUCUCACCUAGGCACCAGGUGCGCCAUUCAACAUGAAAGGUGUUGAUGCCAUUCUUCAACCCAGGGCCAGAUUCCUCCAUCAGCAUAUUCCUCCCACCUGGGAUUGCCUUACCACCACCCACCAUCCAUUUACGUGCCUGCCACCUUAAGCCCUUCCUGAAUCAAGGUGGGACAUAAACAAACAGACAUAUAAAACAAGGCCUUCUCAGACUUUCCAAUGCCCAGUUCCAGCAUGCUAUGAGGACGACCCAGUGAUGAUGAAACCUGGUUCCAUGGCUAAAUGUUUGUGCUUCUCAUGCUGAUAAUUUGUAGACCUAGGUCAUAUUUCAAUGCAAGUCCCCCAAAAGAACCUGUGUUCAAUCUCUCCUUUUUAUCCUACUUUUUUCAAUUCCUAGAUAUACAAGAACCUGUAUGUUAAAAAGAGACCAAACAAGAAUUGGUUUUCACAAGGAUCAAGCAAUACAACAAACAAGAGUUUUCUCUUUCUCCAAUAAAUGUGGUCUUGAAAUGGA